rnacentral:rRNA from 1 species
UACGUAGGGUGCGAGCGUUGUCCGGAAUUAUUGGGCGUAAAGAGCUCGUAGGCGGUUUGUCGCGUCGGCCGUGAAAUCUCCACGCUUAACGUGGAGCGUGCGGUCGAUACGGGCAGACUUGAGUUCGGUAGGGGAGACUGGAAUUCCUGGUGUAGCGGUGAAAUGCGCAGAUAUCAGGAGGAACACCGGUGGGCGAAAGGCGGGGUCUCCUGGGGCCGAUACUGACGC